UUUCUAAACAAAGAGACCGCGCGAAAUUAGUUACUACCAUUUAUUUUCAAAAUUUAUACACCGAUAGUACGACAUAAGAGUUUUUUUUUGUCAAAUUAAACAGAUUCUUAGGUAAUUUGUGUUUUAAACCGACUAAUCAAACAGCAAUUGUUUUGUACGCAGUUAAGAACAGCUGUUUGAGGCACUGCAGUGAAAACCGUAGCGAAACGUCUUUUCCAAUUAUCGUUUCUGUCGCACACAUAUCCCAAUCGAUCGUUGUCUUAAACUAAAAUGAUCGUAAUAUCCCCAUGCAGCCAGAGGAAGCGGAGGGCCGGGCGGCAUGCCAGACCUCAAGCCACUAUGCUCCAGGGUUAAUAACGCCGAAUUAAUACCGGCUAAAUAAAAGCAACAUUUUAAUGUAGUCAGAGGUGACCUGGAGGAUGAGACCAUUUUUAAAGAAAUAGUAAAAUUUUAUAAAGAUGAUCCGAAUAUUACCCAGGCAAGAUGCUGAAGAGGAUCCAGUGGAGGAUGCCAUAAUGUUCAGGAUGUGCAGCAAAACACAGGCAGCGUCAUCCUUAUCUCACCUGUAUGUCCCUCACAACGGGGCAGCAGUAAGUAACAGAAGAAACUAGAGUACCUGAAGGAGAAACUCGUGCGUGACAUUGAGAGAUCAUGCAAAUGGAACACAUAGCCAGCAGAGGACAGAUUCAUCGCACCAGCCAUGGAAGUAUGUUACCAACUGAGAACCACAAAACAGCUCCUCCUUACAAAGGUGAAAACCAUGUAUAGACCUUUCCCUCAAAUCUCCUAUACAUAAACAUUUAAAAAGUUAAGGUAAUAGACUAAUCAUUCAAUUGGAUGUUUUUGUGUGAAAUUUAUGCUAUGAAGCAGACAUGCAAAAAUGCAGGCCAGCACACUGAAUAUACGUGUGGCUGCCCUCUACUGGAAACAUGUGACAUCCACAAGAAAAAGCUAAAUAAAUGCUAUAUAGAGACGUAUGCUUUGGGAAGACAGCCUUCAGUUCCUGAUCAUGCAAAAUAUAUAUAUAAUAUGAUUUCUCUUCUAUGCCAGCUGUAGAGAAACCUGU